rnacentral:rRNA from 1 species
CUGCUGCCUCCCGUAGGAGUCUGGGCCGUGUCUCAGUCCCAGUGUGGCCGGCCACCCUCUCAGGCCGGCUACCCAUCGUCGCCUUGGUAGGCCAUUACCCUACCAACUAGCUAAUGGGACGCGAGUCCAUCUUUCAGCGUCAGGUCUCCCCAACUUUUCCUAUAUAAACAUGCACUUAUAUAACUCAUCCGGCAUUAGCUCACCUUUCGGUAAGUUGUUCCAGUCUAAAAGGCAGGUCACUCACGUGUUACUCACCCG